rnacentral:misc_RNA from 1 species
GAUGAAGAACGCAGCGAAAUGCGAUAAGUAAUGUGAAUUGCAGAAUUCAGUGAAUCAUCGAAUCUUUGAACGCACCUUGCGCCCUUUGGCCAUUCCGAAGGGCAUGCCUGUUUGAGUAUCAUGAACACCUCAACUCUUCAUGGUUUUCCGUGAUGAGCUUGGACUUUGGGGGUCUUGCUGGCCUAUGGUCAGCUCCUCUAAAAUAAAUCAGCUUGCCAGUGUUUGGUGGGUAUCACAGGUGUGAUAACUAUCUACGCUUGUGGUUUUCCACCAGGUAACCUUCAGCAGUGGAGGUUCGCUGGAGCUCACAGAUGUGUCUCUCCUCAGUGAGGAUAGCUCUUUGAAUGUUUGAUCUCAAAUCAGGUAGGACUACCCGCUGAACUUAAGCAUAUCAAUAAGCGGAGGA